rnacentral:tRNA from 1 species
GCCCGUGUGGCUCAGUGGAUAGAGCCUGCGGACUGAACGGUCCCGGGUUCGAUUCCCGGUCAGGGCA